GGAUCUCCGUCCAAGAUUUAAGAGUUGUUAAGCCCGCAGCUCUUUUUGACGAUUGUGAGCUAGACGAAGUAGGGGUUAGAAUAUUUGACCUAGCAUGCUCUAAGGCAAGUUGAUAAGCAUUAUAAACUGUUUGAGCAUUAAUUUUAAUUGAUGCUUUUGCAUCUGCAAGUGUAGCAGGGGUUAGAAUAUUUGACCUAGCAUGCUCUAAGGCAAGUUGAUAAGCAUUAUAAACUGUUUGAGCAUUAAUUUUAAUUGGUGUUUUUGCAUCUGCAAGUGUAGCAACUUCCUCGUUUGAAAGAUCU
rnacentral:lncRNA from 1 species